UAAUAAUUUGAGAAAGUCUGGAUGUGAAAGAUAUGGUCAUCUUGGUGGUAAGUAAGAUGUAGCUAUUGUCACUGGUCUGUCUGCCAUGUCUAACUCUGCUGCCAAGGUCUCUGAUAUAAAGUCAUCCUCAACCUUGUGGGUUAAUGUCUGACUCACAGCAAUGGCUACUCCAUCCAUGGGUUCAUCUGCUUGGUUACUCUGGUGAACAGAGUAUCCUGGUAUUUUUAGUUGUAUCAUGUCUUGUAAUCUGUGGCUAGUUAUCAAUAUGAUGUCUGGGUCAAAGUGUCUGUAGGUGUUAGUCAAGUUGUACUUAUGGGUGCUGUUCUAUGUCAAGACAUUGUGCAGUAUUACCCUUAGUUGUGUCAUUAUGUCUGUCUAGGAUGUGUUUUCCUACCUCAACUGUCUCUGCCCUGCUUCCUCAGUAGUGGUCCAGUGGUGAACAUGGUGAGGUCAUCCUCAGGCAUGGAGCACAGCAUCUCUUCCAGGUUCUGCUUUUAUUUCCUCAGCCAGUGGAGAACUGGAGCAGUGUUAGCUCGGGUUCUGUUGUGGCCAAUCUUGUAUCUUUCCUCAUUGAGUCCCUUCCUAAGCACCUGGUAGGUCAUCUCCUCAGGCCAGGCCAGGUGUCAGAGGCACUCUUGAAGAUGCUGGAUACCCAGUGGGCAAAUGUCACGUAAUUCACGUGGAAUACACGUGGAUCCUGCACGUGGAUUACUCAUGGAUAUUUGAUGGAAAAUGCAAAAUCGAAUUCACGUGAAAAUGAACACGUGGAAUACACGUGUACAAAUUCACGUGUAAUACAUGGUAAUAUCUGGUGGAAUAAUCCAUGUGUUUAUUUAUCCGCUGCAUUAUCGUGCUCUGGUAAUCUGCAUGUCAUCAGUGCAUCCAGUCUCUCAGUAUAUGUUUCUGUAUCAUUUACGUAAGCUAUAGUCGAAUAGGCUAUUAUAAACAGAAACAUAUCCUUUACGAGACCGCACAUUGUUGACAGGCAGGCUGGUAGAGCACGAUAAUGCAGCCUUCACACUUGUUGAAUGCAACCAUAGUACUGUGCAAUUUCAGAAUACAAGGUAGGCAUGUAAAAAAUACAAGUAAUACAGAAAGUGUGUAUAUACUCGUAUAUAUUCUUCAGUCUUACACUUUUUCAUAAAUUUAAUAAUCUUCAUCCUUGUAAAAAUAUCAAAACCAAAAUAAUUUCCAUAUUUUAUGAAAAAAAAAAAAGUUAGUGCUUGCAUUUUUACAUAUAAAGACUUUCAAGAUAUCUGACUUGAAUGAAGAAUAACUGCAAUAUAUAAAUGGAUGAUCCCAGUAAUACAAAAAAUUAAAACUUUGUUUAGCCACAAUCCAUCCAUAGCCUGACACCUGCUCCUAUGCAUUACCUCCCCAUGCCAUGGUCCAGAACAGCAGAAACCACCUUUGAACUGUGAGGGUGACCAUCCGCCAUCCCGGGCCACGACUCAAUAAAUGGGUUCCCAUGGCACUUGUGCCUAGCAUUAUCCCUGGGCAUGUGCCACAAGUGGGACUAUAAAAGGUAGAGAAGAAUGGGCAGAUCCCCAGCCUAGUGUCACCCUAAACAGUAGAGGUAUAUAGAACAAGAGAAAGACAGAAAUGGCUAUGGGAAGUAAAGGACACCAACCCUCACUCUGACAAAGAGUCAGCCCACCACUCGGAAAAG